AUCAUGGCUCAGAACGAACGCUGGCGGCGUGCUUAACACAUGCAAGUCGAACGGAAUUAGGGGCUUGCUCCUAAUUUAGUGGCGCACGGGUGAGUAACGCGUGGAUAACCUACCCUGGUAUCUGGGAUAACAUCUCGAAAGGGGUGCUAAUACCGGAUAAGCCCACGGGAACUUUGGUUCUUGCGGGAAAAGGUGGCCUCUAUUUAUAAGCUACUGUAUCAGGAUGGGUCCGCGUACCAUUAGCUAGUUGGUAGUGUAAUGGACUACCAAGGCUACGAUGGUUAGCUGGUCUGAGAGGAUGAUCAGCCACACUGGAACUGARACACGGUCCASACUCCUACGGGAGGCAGCAGUGGGGAAUUUUGCGCAAUGGGGGAAACCCUGACGCARCAACGCCGCGUGAGUGAUGAAGGCCUUCGGGUCGUAAAGCUCUGUCAGAGGGGAAKAAGUGUAUGGGUGCUAAUACCAUCUAUACUUGACGGUACCCUCAAAGGAAGCACCGGCUAACUCCGUGCCAGCAGCCGCGGUAAUAC
rnacentral:rRNA from 1 species